ACGAGAGAGAAGGAUCGGUAGUUAUUGGAUAGUUCGAAAUACUUUGAAGUGUUAGAAAGGAAAAAAGCUACUAAGGAAAAUCAGUGCCACUUAAAUCUUGAAAAAAUUACUCUUUCAAUCAGAGAUCAAACAGAAAAUCAUGUGCCAUCAGUGCUCUGUCCAUAACUGUAGAACAUCACAAACAAAUGUAAAAGACGGCAUUUGGUACCAUUGCGGUAUCAGACACAGGUUCUGUGAGAGUCACAGGAACAAAGACUACUGCCCUCAUCAUAGAGGCAGCGCAAAUAAGAAUCCUUAUGGGCAUAACUGAAACUGCUCACUUUCUCUCCCUCUUGCUCUCUUUUGUUUAGAAACUACUAAUCCUUCUCUCUCUGUUGUACUUCAACAUGUACAUGUACAUGUACUGAGUGUGUGUCUACUAUUCAUUUGACUAUUAUUUAAAAGUAUUGUUUUAAUGUCUCAAUUAUUAUAGUCUUUAGAAAAA